UACAGAGGGUGCGAGCGUUGUUCGGAAUUAUUGGGCGUAAAGCGCUGGUAGGUGCCUGUUAAGUCGCGUGUGAAAGCUUCCGGCUCAACCGGAAAAGUGCGCGCGAAACUGGCGGGCUUGAGUGCGGGAGAGGGUCGCGGAAUUCCAGGUGUAGCGGUGAAAUGCGUAGAUAUCGAGAGGAACACCUGAGGUGAAGACGGGUUGCUGGGCCGACACUGACGCUGAGGCGCGAAAGCCAGGGUAGCAAACGGG
rnacentral:rRNA from 1 species